rnacentral:lncRNA from 1 species
CCGCCCCCGCACAGCUUCCCAGCAGUCCCGAUUCCGCCUGAGGCUCCAGAAGGCGAAGCUGUACAGGAGGCCACUUUUCUUCUCAGCCUAGAACUCGAGAGACCUGAAAGGAAGGACGACUGGCCACAGGAGAUGUUUCACAGAGCCGCUGAAUGAACAACACAGUCAAUUCUGAUCAACUUUCCAGUGCUAUCUGGGUGUAAGUGAGUGGCCCUGGAGGUGGGUGCCUCUCCCCGGCGCAGUUUUUCCUUCCAUCACAAGCAUGGCUGAAGCUGGGUGGUGGUGCAUACAGAUUCCAGCCAGCAAGGAGGGGAAAGAGAGUUCAGAGGACUCACCUCCACUGUCCCCGACCCAGGCCUGUAGCAUCUAUAUUGGCUCCUCUCAGGUUCCACAGAAUUCCUCAAGAUGACUGAGGUUGGUCCCUGAAGAAACCAAAUUCAGUGUAAGAAAACCAACAUCACAAAGAGCUUCGUGACUCAUUACAGAUGACAGUAGAUAAAUCCUUAGGGUUGUUGUCAAAUUUGGGGAAAGCUCUAUCAAGUUUCUUUCAUAUCUGAGCUGCAAGAUUUCAGGGCAUUUCAAGCUUACCUGUCAAUGAUGAACCUUAAAUCAAUAUUGCUGAGUUGACAACAUUCAUUAAGCUGUUUGUUGUGAACAGACCUCCUCAUUAUAAUGACUUAAUAUGAAUUUCAUGUUACCUUUGUCUUGCGUCAAAUAAGCAAGAAAUUUGUUUUUUCCCAGUGUGUUCAUGUGAUUCACUCCUCAUCACUAGCUGGAUUAUUAAAACUCCAGGAGCGUCUUCAUCAUUUUUAGUCACUAUUUUC